rnacentral:sRNA from 1 species
UCCACAGAAACAGGAAUAAAAUGGAGAGUGAUGUGCAAGAUAGUCCCUGCCAAUAUGCCUCAACCCUGAACUGGAGGGACCACAUCUCGGA